UACUCCUAAAGGUCAAACUAAGCAUUUGGAAAGUGAACCAGUGGUGGGCAGUGAUUUGUUCCCAAACAAAAUGAAUGAUCUCUGAGGAAUGUGGGAGGGGUGUCUGUGAACCUCCAAGAAUAAGGACUAGGUCUGGCCUCAGGGUGGGAGACCCUACGGAGAGUCCAACCUCCCAGCAAUGGUCCACGUGCUGGCAGCCACAAACACUUCAUCAUGGUGGCCUGACACUGUGACAUGGGAUAAGCGUCAGAGCAGGAACCAUCUUCAAGCAUCGAGGACGUUCAGUGAUGCUGUGUCGGGGCUACUUCAUUUCAUAAAAUAACAAAAUACUAUCAGACCCUUCUCCAGGACACCUCCACCUUCUCACAACAAGCUUCUAAAGAGUUAACCCAGGAGCUCCAGAACUCUGCUGAUGGGUGGCGGCUGCUAGCUCUGGGCACCUCUGACAGGUGCCACCUGGAUUCAACCCAGGCCCUGAGGAAGGAAACUGGCAGAGUGAAGCAGAACCCACAGCUACAAGGAGACACUGGCUUCGGGGUCAGGGCAGGAGCAGGGGCCCCUGGGCGGCCAGAGAAUGGCGGCAGAAGCGCUGCAGGCUUCCUGGAACCCAGGCUCAGCCCCUCUCCGUUUGGUAGGGUAAGUUCAAGCUGGAUCAACUCCUCAUUUACUCAUUCCUCCAACAAACAUAAAUCAAGCACCCACUACACCCCAGCCCUUUUCUGGGCUCUGGAAUCACGCAGAUAAAGAGACAGAGUGGUCCUUGCUCUCGUGAAGCUGAUGCUAGACUGGAGAAGUCGAGAAAACCAGCAGGCAGGUGUACAGCAGUGUGACCGAGCCUGGGGUCUACUUUAGAAAGAGGUCAUCAAGGAAGGCCUCCCUGAGGAGGGAGCAUGUGAGCUGGAGCUGGAGAGAAAAGGAGUUGGUCAGGCCCAAUUCUGGGGGUGAGAGGAGGAAAAAGUUCCAGGUGAGGGGAGCCCCCUGGGGGGCAUGUGUGUGAGGGGGGCAGGGGGGGUCUGGUGUGCCCUCCCUGACUACAGGAGGUGUGGG
rnacentral:lncRNA from 1 species